UACGAAGGGGGCUAGCGUUGCUCGGAAUCACUGGGCGUAAAGCGCGUGUAGGCGGUUCUGUAAGUCUGCUGUGAAAGUCCAGGGCUCAACCCUGGGAUGCCGGUGGAUACUGCAGGGCUAGAGUACGGAAGAGGCGAGUGGAAUUCCCGGUGUAGCGGUGAAAUGCGCAGAUAUCGGGAGGAACACCUAUUGCGAAGGCAGCUCGCUGGGACGUUACUGACGCUGAGGAGCGAAAGCGUGGGGAGCGAACAGG
rnacentral:rRNA from 1 species